CGCGUCGAACAGAUGCCGAACGGACAGGACCUCCCCUGUCCGCCCAAGACUAACCAACAGAUCAUGUAUAAGAAUUUACUCAGGAAUCAAUUCAUAAAUACACGAUCAAGAAGCACCACCAGUGCAACAGCCAAGAGCAAGAUACAAGUAUAGAAACAUAUACAAGUACAUAAGAGAGAAGAUGUUAUCUAUUACAUUCAUUUAGCUCAAUACAUUUAAGUACGUCUUUUACAUUCUUCCAAAAACAUAAAUACAAGCACUCAAACCUCACCCUAUACAUCAUCUACUCUCAAAUACAAAUAAG
rnacentral:lncRNA from 1 species